GAAUGAAGAACGCAGCGAAAUGCGAUAAGUAGUGUGAAUUGCAGAAUUCAGUGAAUCAUCGAAUCUUUGAACGCACAUUGCGCCCCUUGGUAUUCCAUGGGGCAUGCCUGUUCGAGCGUCAUUUGUACCUUCAAGCUUUGCUUGGUGUUGGGUGUUUGUCUCGCCUCCGCGUGUAGACUCGCCUCAAAACAAUUGGCAGCCGGCGUAUUGAUUUCGGAGCGCAGUACAUCUCGCGCUUUGCACUCACAACGACGACGUCCAAAAGUACAUUUUUACACUCUUGACCUCGGAUCAGGUAGGGAUACCCGCUGAACUUAAGCAUAUCAAUAAGCGGAGGA
rnacentral:misc_RNA from 1 species